rnacentral:rRNA from 1 species
GCGUUGUUCGGAAUUACUGGGCGUAAAGGGCUCGUAGGCGGCCAACUAAGUCAGACGUGAAAUCCCUCGGCUUAACCGGGGAACUGCAUCUGAUACUGGAUGGCUUGAGUUCGGGAGAGGGAUGCGGAAUUCCAGGUGUAGCGGUGAAAUGCGUAGAUAUCUGGAGGAACACCGGUGGCGAAGGCGGCAUCCUGGACCGACACUGACGCUGAGGAGCGAAAGCCAGGGGAGCAAACGGG